AUGCCGCUCCCGCUCCGUCGCCUCUCGCCCCCCCUACGCCGCUCCCUCUCCACCGCCGCGUCGCGCCCCGCCUGGGCGAUGGUCUACCGGAUCUCGACGGCGGAGGAAUCGGCGCGGGGCGCGUCCCUGUCGCUCGCCCCGCCCCCGCUCCCCUCCCGCGUCACCGUCCCCAAGCGGGCCUUCGCUCUGGACGCCCUCCCGCCCGCCGACCGCCGCUUCAUCAACGUCUUCGGCAGCAGCGUCCUCGCCGCGAGCGGCCACGGCCUCCUCCUGCUCGGCGCCUACAAGAACCGCGCCAACGCCUUCGAAAUGUUCGAGGGCCGGGCCCCGUCCGCCGUCCCGUUCGAGGUCCUCGACCAGGUGUACGAGCGCUGGUGCUGCUCCGACCCGAUGAGGCUGGCCCGCUUCGUCUGCAACCCCGUCACCGGCGAGAUGGCUCGCCUCCCGGACUUCGACGGCACGGAGGACGCCUUCGCCGCGUCCACGGGCCUCCUCACCCACGCCGACGGCGGGCACGGGCCGCCCAAGAGGUACGCCGCAGCGCAGCUCAGCGUGGUCGACCGCGGACGCCGAUUCCUGUUGCGCCGGCUCACUUCAGAGACAGGAAAGUGGGACGAGUUGGUGCUGCCGUCCCCGCUGCCGCCUGGGCGCCGGAUGCACAUGAACCACGAGGUGCUGGACUUCGGGGGCCGGCUCUGGUGGGUGGACGUGAGCUGGGGCGCCGUCCACGUCGAUCCGUUCAGCGACCGGCCUGAGCUCUGCCCCGUCGAGCUGCCAGGAGGCAGCAUGCUUCCUAACCAACAGAGCGCUAUAGAGAUGUGGCAGCUCCUCCUACACAGGCGCAUGGGGGUCAGCGACGGCAGGCUGCGGUUUGUCGAGGUUUCUGAGGACGAGCCCUUCCGCAUCAAGUCGUUCAAGCUGGACGGCGAGAGUGGCCGCUGGACGCUGGAGCAUCAGGUGUCGUGGAGAACUCUCUAUUCCGAUGCCAAGGCGACGCCUUUGAUUGCUGCCAUUGAUCCACUCGACCCCGACUCGCUGUAUUUCACCGUGCUUGUGGGCAAGGCAUCAUGUUUAAGCGUGGAUCUCUCUGUGCCUGUGGCCAAAGCAUUAUGUUUAGGCGUGGACAUGCGCUCAAAGACACCGAUUGAGUCUAUGACAUUAGGUGGUGGCGGUGUUCAUCCAAGCAAGUGCAACUCAAGCUUCGUUCUGCCAUGUGUGCUCCCCUCAUUUCUCGGAUCAAGCUCGAUUCCAGGCAAGAACGACCUGUCGAAAAACAAGACUGGCAGAUGUUCUAGUUCGUUCAGACAAACACCCGAAGGCCUGAAGAGUACCGAUUUACCAGCUAACGAAUAUCUGGAUACAAGUCAUCUGAUCAACUAG
rnacentral:rRNA from 1 species